AUGGGCAUCUUGCCAAUGAUCUUCUCUAUGUUGGUACUCGAUUCAGUAGGAAAGCUAACAGCUCUAGCAUCCGGAGUUGCAACAAGCCAACUGAGCCCCGAGGGGAACUGGGCACAACCAUCACGUGCCGUGGCCACGCUCGAUGGCUGCCCAACGAGCUGCGGCAGCGUGAGGUUCGGCUAUCCCUUCGGCAUUGGAUCCAGGUGCUCCCGUGGGCCUGACUUCAACCUCAUCUGCAACGACACCACUCAGCCCCCCAAGCUCUUCUUGCAUGACGGCAUCACAGAGGUGAUCGACUUCGAUCCUUUUUGGAAUUCAAACCUGAUCUCGGUCUCCUUCUCACAUACCAUACCCAUGAAAUCUGGGGCCAGUCUCUACAAUUUGUCUUUCAAACCACUUGGGAGGCACUUCCAUGUAUCCACUGAUUACGUUGCUCUAAACAUCACCGGCUGUGACCUGGAGGUGUACUCUGUCAAAGAGAAUGCCACUCAGCCGAUAUGUGCAACUGUGUGCCCAGAUCCAGGGAUCACUGAGAUGGUGGCUAUGCACAACUGUAAUGGCUUUGGAUGUUGUCAUGUAGACGUGGAAAACGAUGCCGACACUUAUCAGUUCAAAUUUGUCUACGGCCACAACCCGAAAAACACCAAAGCACACUCUAACCAGACCUCUCAGUUGUGGGAUAAAAUCAGCAUAACCACUGAUCGCUUUCGGCUCUCAUGGGAUAUUGGGAAUCAAUCCGCCUGUGUUGCCUGUAAGAGUGAGCAUGCUGGGUGUGGCUACAACUACUAUACGGGAUUCAUAUCAUCACCAAGUGGCUACCGGUGCUUCUGCCACGACGGCUAUACAGGCAACCCCUACAUUUCACAUGGCUGCUCCAGCAACAACAAAGGAUACAAUCCAACCCCAAGCAGGGCUGAUUGCACCCGUCAGUGUGGUAGCAUUGAUGUGCAAUUCCCAUUCGGCUUUGAAGAGGGUUGCUUUGCCAGGGAAGAGUUUCACUUCAAUUGCACAAAUACAGCGUCAUCGGCUAUUUUGCUGCUGAGGGAUUUGGAGGUAAUUGCCUUGGAGGUAAUCGGCGUGAAUGUUGAUGAAGGGACUAUUAAUGCCACCAUUCCUGACCAACAAUUGGCGAACCCUACGUCUGAUUCAGGACAAAGCAGUCUUUUUUCUGCAUAUGGGUUGUUUCUCUCUAUCAAAUGGGUCGCUGCUAAUCUAAGUUGCGCAGAGGCCCAACAUAAUAGGUCUGGAUAUGCUUGUGUGAGUAUCAACAGCAAGUGUGUGGAAGUAAGUGCUGAAAGGGUCUAUGCUGGUUAUCGCUGCAAGUGCUCAGAUGGCUUCCAAGGAAAUCCAUACAUCCAAAGUGGUUGUCGAGAUAUUAAUGAAUGCCUUCAACCCAACAAAUGUAAAGAGAUCUGCCAUAAUACCGAAGGAAGCUUCAAUUGUAUUGAAUGUCCUCGCAAGACAGAGUAUGAUCCAUUAAAAAUGCAGUGUACUAGGAUAAAACAACAGACUCUACUUGUAGGUAUAAUUAUUGGGCUGUCAUGUGGUUUUGGCAUUCUACUUCUGAGCUUCAGUGUAGUGCUUCUCACGCAUAAAUGGAAAAGAAAUGUUCAAAGGCAACUAAGAAAGUACUAUUUCCAAAGGAACCAAGGUCGUCUCCUAGAAACUUUGAUAUCAUCUGAUGGAAGUGCAAAUGACAAAACAAAGAUUUUCUUGUUCGAAGAAUUAGAGAAGGCAACAAAUAACUUUGAUCCUGCACGUAUCAUUGGCCGUGGGGGUCAUGGCAUGGUUUACAAAGGCAUAUUAUCUGAUCAGCGUGUUGUUGCAAUAAAAAAGUCUAAGGUCAUUGAGGAGUGUGAGAUCAGUCAAUUCAUCAAUGAAGUUGCAGUCCUCUCUCAGAUAAGGCACAGAAAUAUUGUAAAGCUCUUCGGAUGUUGUCUCGAAACCGAGGUUCCACUGCUAGUGUAUGACUAUGUAUCCAGUGGCUCACUGUCUCAAGUUCUUCAUGCUGAUCCAAGUGAUGGUUGUUCUUUGUCUUGGAGUGAUUACUUAAGGAUUGCCGUGGAAACAGCAGGAGCUCUAUCUUAUCUCCACUCUUCAGCGUCAAUAUCAAUCUUCCAUCGUGAUGUGAAGUCCUCAAAUAUACUCUUGGAUGUGAACUACACAGCUAAAGUUUCAGAUUUCGGCGCGUCUAGAUUGGUUCCAAUCGAUCAAACACACAUUGUCACGAAUGUGCAGGGUACAUUCGGGUACUUAGACCCAGAGUAUUUCCACACCAGACAGCUGAACGAGAAGAGCGACGUGUACAGUUUUGGCGUGGUGCUGGUGGAACUUCUGCUCAGACUGAAGCCUGUUUUUACAAGCGAGUCGGGCACGGUCAACAGCUUGUCAAGCUAUUUUCUCCAGGAGUUCAAGGAGGGGAGAAUCGCAGGCAUUGUCAAUCCCCAGGUCCUUGAGGAGGCGACCGAGGAAGAGAUCAACGGCGUCGCCUCUCUUGCAGAACUGUGCUUAAGGCUACGUGGCGCGGAAAGACCCACCAUGAAACAAGUGGAGACCGAACUGCGGACUCUGCGAGCAAAACGCAUGAACUCAUCCCAAGCAGAUCCAGGGAGUGAAGAGAAGAUGCCACCAAGGCCAAUAGCUCGAGGGACUCGAUCUUCUCAUCAAUCGUCUGCGACGGAAUCAGGUAAGAGAGUCGUAAGGUCGGGACGCAGCGAACGGUCCUAUCGCUUGGAGGGAGACUGCGAGAGUUCAUGCCAUCUGCUAGCCGAGCACCACGCUUAG
rnacentral:rRNA from 1 species